GACGGAGCAGGAAGAAAGAAGAGAAAUCAAGCAAAGAUUGACAAGAAAGCUUAAUCAGAGACCCACGGUUGAUGAACUGAGAGACAGAAAAAUUCUGAUACGAUUCAGUGAUUACGUGGAGGUGGCAAAGGCACAAGACUAUGACAGACGGGCCGACAAGCCCUGGACGAGACUGUCGGCAGCAGACAAGGCAGCGAUUCGUAAAGAACUGAAUGAAUACAAAAGCAAUGAAAUGGAAGUACACGCCUCAAGCAAGCACCUGACAAGAUUCCACAGGCCAUAGAGAUUUUCUUCUGAGAAGAAUUGUGUUUAAUUUUUGAUACCAACACUGAACAUUCAUCAGGGAACUUUCCUGACGCUCAUGACCACCUGCUGUGUUUGCGAAGGAGCAGGACCACAGGCAGGUGAAAUGUGGGUCGCUCUCACCUGUAAGAGGAGGAAGCGGGGGACGGCCUCCACUCUCUGGUGUCUGAGGAGUGUGAACAGUUGGGGUCGAUACAGCCCCCAGGAACUCUCCCAGAAGAAAACUCAGUUUUGCUUUGCAGCUCUGCGGUGCGAAGGAGGACGCGGUGUGCAUGUGCAGGUCACCGCCGAGGCUCUGAGUGCCGGACGAGUGACGCAGCGUCGUCAGUACCAUGUGGCCGAGACGUUUUUAUUCUGAUCACGAUUAAUUUGAGACUCUUUAAGUUCCUGUUAUACAAAAUGAUUUACUGUAUUAUACUUUUUCUUUUUUUUAUAUAAUGUCUAACAAAAAUACAGCUGCGACAUUUUGAUUCCUGUUAAUUUUGUUCUUUCAUUAAAUGACUACUUAUUGCA
rnacentral:lncRNA from 1 species